UAUUACUUUAACUUAUUUAUGUAGCCUUUUGAGAGUUUCUUUCAGAAAGUAAAUUAUCUGAAAGAGAAAAGUCAUUUGGCAUGAUGGUAAUGAUUAACAUUGCAGAUGUAAAAUGUUAAAUACUGUUCUGUAUUAAAAGCUCAGUGUAAGUGUUUGAUUAACUUCCUUUGCUUUUGUUUUGUACAAAGGAAAAGCAGAACCUAAUCCAAAUAAAAAUAAACAAGCUGUUUAAAGGACUGUGUCCUACCCAGAUCCUCCUCCAAAAUAUAACCAUUCAAAAUACAAUCCAUUUGAAAAUACACUUAAACAAAUGUGAGAUGUUAUUUGAGGUGUAAAUAUCAUUACAAUUUCAUUUUAUUUACAGUUGAAGAUCAACACAAACCAAAUGAAGAUGUUGUAGAUUCUACAAACAAUAAAAAAGAAGGUGAUGGCACACAUCAUGACAGUAAACAUCGGUAUCAAGAUGGUGUGAUUGAUCUACGGUAUACCCUAGAAUAAGCUGUGACACUGAUGCUGUGGUCACAUAAUGAACAGCCAUCUUACAGACAACCGAAAGAGGCAUAGUAUUGUUUUCUUGUGUAUUGUCAUACACCUAAAGCGGAU